UGCCACCGCCGCGGUAAUACGAAGGGACCUAGCGUAGUUCGGAAUUACUGGGCUUAAAGAGUUCGUAGGUGGUUGAAAAAGUUAGUGGUGAAAUCCCAGAGCUUAACUCUGGAACUGCAUCCAAAACUACAUUUCUUGAGUUUGGUAGAGGAGAGUGGAAUUCCUAGUGUAGAGGUGAAAUUCGUAGAUAUUAGGAGGAACACCAGUGGCGAAGGCGACUCUCUGGGCCAAUACUGACGCUGAGGUUCGAAAGCGUGGGUAGCGAACAGGAUUAGAUA
rnacentral:rRNA from 1 species